UACAGAGGGGGCAAGCGUUGUUCGGAAUUACUGGGCGUAAAGGGCGCGUAGGCGGCCGCCUAAGUCAGACGUGAAAUCCCCCGGCUUAACCUGGGAACUGCGUCUGAUACUGGGAGGCUUGAGUAUGGGAGAGGGAUGUAGAAUUCCAGGUGUAGCGGUGAAAUGCGUAGAUAUCUGGAGGAAUACCGGUGGCGAAGGCGGCAUCCUGGACCAUUACUGACGCUGAGGCGCGAAAGCUAGGGGAGCAAACGGG
rnacentral:rRNA from 1 species